rnacentral:rRNA from 1 species
GCGCAAUGGAAGAAACUCUGACGCAGCGACGCCGCGUGAGCGCCGAAGGUCUUCGNAUNNUAAAGNUNUGUCCUUGGGGAAGANNNNNUUCUGACUUGACGGUACGCAUGUAGGAAGCCACGGCUAACUACGUGCUCGCAGCCGCGGUAAUACGUAAGGGGCAAGCGUUGUCUGGAAGUAUUGGGCGUAAAGGGUGCGUAGGCGGCCUUUUAAGUCAGAUGUGGAAGCCCACGGAUCAACCGUGGGAUUGUAUUUGAAACUGGAGGGCUUGUGUAUCGGAGAGGGUAGUGGAAUUCCCAGUGUAGAGGUGAAAUGCGUAGAUAUUGGGAGGAACACCAGUGGCGAAGGCGACUACCUGGACGAUUACUGACGCUGAUGCACGAAAGCUAGGGGAGCAAACA